rnacentral:lncRNA from 1 species
UUUCUGCCAGUAUUUAAUGAUAAGCCAAUCCACUCAGGAGUGGUGCUGUAAACAAGCUCUCUGCAAGGUGUGAAUGGGGGAGCCACAGUGAGAAAUAGCUGAUCGCCUGUGUGACAUUAGCUCAAAGCAUGUGUCCUACAGCCAACCUUGAGGCUAGGAUAAGACUGUGAUGGAUUCACACAUGGUAGGAUAUAAUAGGAUCACAAGUUGUAUCAAAGCAGUACAUUAGCAGAUUAUCAGAUUAUCAACUUUGCCUUCAUAAAUUCCCUACCUUCUCACAACUAAGCUACCUGUAAGUAUUCAUCUUUUAAAAUCUCUCUCCUAUUUUCUGUGAGCUUACUCUCCAUGAAUUGUAUAGUCAGAGGAAGAAAGGGCACCUUUCAUAGUAGGAAAGUUAAGAACUAAGGGGAUUUUUAGUGAAACUUGGCUUUUUGGUUAAAAAAAAGGAUUCCUUUUGAAUAGUUCAUGAAUGAACUGUGACUUGAUUAAUUCUAUUUCUUCUGAUUUCCUUUAACUAAAUAAUUCUUUAUGUAGAUUCCUUCUGGAUCAUUUUAGGACAAAUUUUCUAUUGU